UCCUCCGCGCUGGGCUGCGCCGAGGGCCGCGCGGUUCCGUGACGCUGCGCGCCUGCCUCGCCCGGAGCGGGCCGUGUCCGCGUUCUUUCACGCGGGGCGAUGCGAGCGUCCGUGUUGAGAUGAAGAAAGGGGGUAGUAGCCUUCGGUACCCCGCGGUGCAGUCGGUACCGUGUCCCAGGGGAGGAAGCUGAAGCUCGUGUGCACUCUCCUGUGUCUGAUCGCGCCUCCUCCCCUGCCGGGCGCUCCUCCCCUCCCAGACCCCGAGAGAGAGGCGGAGACACAGGGAGGGAGAAGCAGGGUCCCUCUGGGGAGCCCGAUGCGGGACUCGAUCCAGGGACCCUGGGACCACGACCUGCGCCAAACGCAGACGCUCAACCGCUGAGCCACCCAGUUUGUUUUUCAGCUAUUCAUCUGUUGAACAAUUGAGUAUUUACCGUGUGCCAGAUGCAGAAUUUGAGGCACAGAAAGGUUAAGUAACCUACCUAAGAAGAUAUGAGUGCCAAAAGCUGGGAUGCAAAUCCAUGCAGUCUGGUUUUAAUCUUCAUGCUCACAAAUAACUGUGCCAUAUGUCUGUACUACUUCUAUUGUAAUACUUAUCACCUUCUAUUGUUUGCCUCUCUCCCCUGCCAGACUGUAUUCUUUGAAAUCAGGGACUUUUGUUUGCAGCAACACCUUCAGUGACUAGAAUAGUGCCUAGAAUAAUACCCAGUGAAUUAGAGACCAAAGGAAGUAUAAACAAAUGAGGUAAAAGAAUAGCCAUCAGGUUGCAUUCAGUUAUGGCCAGGGUUAGAGGUUUUGUUUGCAGAGAAAGCUUUUGUUGUUGUUGUUGUGUGUGUUUUAAUGUGAGGAUAACAAAAAGACUGAAGUCAAAGAUAAGCAGAGGUCCAGUUUAAGAAGAUGUUAACAUCCACUGAUUUAACAGUUAUUUUAGGGCACACGCUGUAAUCCUUUUAAGGAAGGCUUCACAGACUUUGUCGUGCGGUCACUACCAAUUUUUUAAAACUGCUUUUUUAAAAAAGAGGCCACUACCUACUCCCGUGUCACUCAAAUUAUGUUAAAGGACCCAAUUCCAGUGCGCAGCACGUCAGCCUCAGAUGCAGUAUCACGCUGGAUCUGAGAAUUAAAAUUUAAAUUGGGGGACACGUAAAAAUGUAAGCUCAAGCUGAGUUCCAAUUUGCUUGGGGGUCAAUGGAAGUGCGCAGUCGGUUUAUAGUCGGCACCACCUGGUGUGCACUGAGUACUGUGCGAAUGACUGUGUCAGAAUAAACAGACAUGGGUUUUUCUUAAACAGUAGCAAGAAAAAUGCUUGUCAUGCAGACCCUGGGCAGCCCCAAGAGAGGGAAAUGAAAACUCCAUGCCUACAUUCGUCCCUUCCUAGUUCAUCUCCUCCCUUUGUUCAGGCCUUUCUCCUAUCCACCCCAGGGUGGUUUCCUUAGUCCUCCCGACUCCAUCUGCAAGGUUCCAUCCUGUGCAACACGGGAAGAUCUCUCCGAGGCACCUGGGCUCAGCGAAACAAUAUUCUGUUU